UGGGGAAUAUUGGACAAUGGGCGCAAGCCUGAUCCAGCCAUGCCGCGUGAGUGAUGAAGGCCUUAGGGUUGUAAAGCUCUUUCAGUGGGGACGAUAAUGACGGUACCCACAGAAGAAGCGGCCGGCUAACUUCGUGC
rnacentral:rRNA from 1 species